CCUACGGGAGGCAGCAGUGAGGAAUAUUGGUCAAUGGACGAGAGUCUGAACCAGCCAAGUAGCGUGAAGGAUGACUGCCCUAUGGGUUGUAAACUUCUUUUAUAAAGGAAUAAAACGAGGCACGUGUGCCUUUUUGCAUGUACUUUAUGAAUAAGGAUCGGCUAACUCCGUGCCAGCAGCCGCGGUAAUACGGAGGAUCCGAGCGUUAUCCGGAUUUAUUGGGUUUAAAGGGAGCGUAGAUGGGUUGUUAAGUUAGUUGUGAAAUUUUGCGGCUCAACCGUAAAAUUGCAAUUUAUACUGGCAGUCUUGAGUACAGUUGAGGUAGGCGGAAUUCGUGGUGUAGCGGUGAAAUGCUUAGAUAUCACGAAGAACCCCGAUUGCGAAGGCAGCUUACUAAACUGUGACUGACAUUGAUGCUCGAAAGUGUGGGUAUCAAACAGGAUUAGAUACCCGAGUAGUC
rnacentral:rRNA from 1 species